GACAGAGGGGGCAAGCGUUGCUCGGAAUUACUGGGCGUAAAGGGCGCGUAGGCGGGAUGGCAAGUUCGGUCGUGAAAUCCCUCGGCUCAACUGAGGAACGUCGAUCGAUACUGCUGUUCUUGAGGAUUGCAGAGGAGACUGGAAUUCCCGGUGUAGCGGUGAAAUGUGUAGAGAUCGGGAGGAACACCGGUGGCGAAGGCGGGUCUCUGGGCAAUUCCUGACGCUGAGGCGCGAAAGCGUGGGAGCGAACAGG
rnacentral:rRNA from 1 species